GAUGAACGCUGGCGGCGUGCCUAAUACAUGCAAGUCGAGCGAACAGACGAGGAGCUUGCUCCUCUGACGUUAGCGGCGGACGGGUGAGUAACACGUGGAUAACCUACCUAUAAGACUGGGAUAACUUCGGGAAACCGGAGCUAAUACCGGAUAAUAUAUUGAACCGCAUGGUUCAAUAGUGAAAGACGGUUUUGCUGUCACUUAUAGAUGGAUCCGCGCCGCAUUAGCUAGUUGGUAAGGUAACGGCUUACCAAGGCGACGAUGCGUAGCCGACCUGAGAGGGUGAUCCGCCCAACUGGAACUGAGACACGGUCCAGACUCCCACGGGAGGCAGCAGUAGGGAAUCUUCCGCAAUGGGCGAAAGCCUGACGGAGCAACGCCGCGUGAGUGAUGAAGGUCUUCGGAUCGUAAAACUCUGUUAUUAGGGAAGAACAAAUGUGUAAGUAACUAUGCACGUCUUGACGGUACCUAAUCAGAAAGCCACGGCUAACUACGUG
rnacentral:rRNA from 1 species